AGCGGGUGUGGCCGGGCCCCCAGGCGUUCAUUCACGAGGAAGCAGAGUACUACCAGCGACUGAUGCACACACCCACCUUAGCCACGCCCUGGAACGACUGGCUACUUGCUGAAAAACAGAUGGUCCCUGCUCUACAAGGGCUACUGCUGGGCAGCGCAGCCCCAGCUCCCGGGCAGCCCGCCAUCACGAGGGUGAACCCCCGACACACCGAGAACCAUUCCGCACCAGGCAGCCAUCCGCUUUUCGCUCUCGAUUUCUACAAAACAGCUUGAGGCCAAGAGAAGAAAACAAAGCCCCCUGAGUGAGUUAGCAGAAGACCAGGACUCGAAACCCACUUUCAGGGCCUGACCUCGGUCCCCAGGGCCAAGAGAAUAUCACCCAGCCCAGCUGCAGGGGGCACCCGCGCGCGUGAGCCUCCUCAGCACCCGCAGAGGCAGCGCACGUGCAGCGGAAGAAGCCCAGGGCUCUGCACCCGGCGGGGCUGCGGCCUCCGUGGUCUCCCCACCCAGCACCGGGGCCUGAUUCCCCUCAGGGCUCUCCCACGCCCUGAGCAUCAAGGGCUGGGCUGGGGGGUGGGGGGGAAGCCCGCCUUCCAUGACCGUGAGCCUGCUGAGCACGCGGCCUCCCCGUUCGUGUUCACUACUGUGCAGCGGUGCAGGUCUGUGCCUGGCUGGUCAGCUUGUGAUCUGCAGAGAGGCCGAGGGCAGGGGAACAGGGGAGGGGAGCUAGCCUUCCCCUCCCUGCGUUCACUGGACGUGAUGACGCUAUAAAGACGCACAAGACACACUCCAGGUUCUCACGAGCUCCAAGGGUUCAUCAGGGAAGCGGACCCCAAGACAAAAACCUGGGUCAGGACAGCGGCGGAUGGACCAACUCUGCCAUCAGAGGCACGUGGUGUGGCAGAGAGAGCUGGCUUUCCUGAGUCCGACGGAUCCAGGACUAAAUGCCGUCUCUGGCGUGUGCUAUGGGCAGGUUACCUAACCUCUCUGGACCUUAGUUUCUUUACUUAUGAAAUGAGGUUAAUAAUACCCCCAAAGCAGUGAAUGGUCAGGAUUAAAAUAUAUAAUCUAAGUCAAACGAUGAGCCCAGGGCCAGCACAUCGUAGGUGUUCUGUGAUGGGGAGCUAUAAAUAUUACCGAUACUGCCCAAUAGCGACUGAGGGCCCGCUGCAGGUCGGGCACCGGCUGGGCACUUUACGUAAACCUUUAAUGCUCAUAAAAACCCCAUGAAGGGGGCUUCCCUGGUGGCGCAGUGGUUGGGAGUCCACCUGCCGAUGCAGGGGACGCGGGUUCGUGCCCCGGUCCAGGAGGAUCCCACGUGCCGCGGAGCGGCUGGGCCC